GUGGGGAAUCUUCCGCAAUGGACGAAAGUCUGACGGAGCGACGCCGCGUGAGUGAAGAAGGCCUUCGGGUCGUAAAGCUCUGUCAUCAGGGACGAACGGCCGGUGGAGUGGAAAGCCACCGGAUUGACGGUACCUGAGAAGGAAGCCACGGCUAACUACGUGCCAGCAGCCGCGGUAAUACGUAGGUGGCAAGCGUUGUCCGGAAUUAUUGGGCGUAAAGCGCGCGCAGGUGGGAUCUUAAGUCCAUUUUGAAAGUUCGGGGCUCAACGCCGUGAUGGGAUGGAAACUGGGAUUCUUGAGUACCGGAGAGGAAAGCGGAAUUCCCCGUGUAGCGGUGAAAUGCGUAGAUAUGGGGAGGAACACCAGUGGCGAAGGCGGCUUUCUGGACGGUGUCUGACACUGAGGCGCGAAAGCCAGGGGAGCGAACGGGAUUAGAAACCCUGGUAGUCC
rnacentral:rRNA from 1 species